rnacentral:rRNA from 1 species
GACGAACGCUGGCGGCGUGCUUAACACAUGCAAGUCGAACGAUGAAGAAAAGAAUUGAAGCUUCGGCAGAAAUUCAUUUCGGAUUAGUGGCAGACGGGUGAGUAACGCGUGAGCAACCUACCUCUUACAAAGGGAUAGCCUCGGGAAACCGGGAUUAAUACCAUAUAACAUUGCGACGAAGCAUUUCGAUGCAAUCAAAGCUACGGCGGUAAGAGAUGGGCUCGCGUCCCAUUAACCAGAUGGUGAGGUAACGGCUCACCAUAGUAACGAUGGGUAACCGGCCUGAGAGGGUGAACGGUUACACUGGAACUGAGACACGGUCCAGACUCCUACGGGAGGCAGCAGUGGGGAAUAUUGCACAAUGGAGGGAACUCUGAUGCAGCGACGCCGCGUGAGUGAUGAAGGAAUUCGUUUCGUAAAACUCUGUUCUAUGGGAAGAAAAGGACUGUACCAUAGGAGAAAGCUCCGGCUAAAUACGUG